AUGGCUCAGGAUGAACGCUGGCGGCGUGCCUAACACAUGCAAGUCGAACGAAGCAUACGGACCGGAGAUUCGUCGAAGGACCGUAUGACUUAGUGGCGGACGGGUGAGUAAUGUAUGAGCAACCUUGCCUUUCAGAGGGGGGACAACAGUUGGAAACGACUGCUAAUACCGGCGUAACGUAUCGUGGGGGCAUCCUCGUGAUACCAAAGGAGCAAUCCGCUGAAAGAUGGGCUCAUAUCUGAUUAGCUUGUUGGCGGGGUAACGGCCCACCAAGGCGACGAUCAGUAGCCGGACUGAGAGGUUGAACGGCCACAUGGGACUGAGAUACGGCCCAGACUCCUACGGGAGGCAGCAGUGGGGAAUAUUGGGCAAUGGGCGAAAGCCUGAACCCCAGCAACGCCGCGUGAAGGAAGUAAGGUCUUCGGAUUGUAAACUUCUUUUAUGAGGGACGAAGGACGUGACGGUACCUCAUGAAUAAGCCACGGCUAACUACGUGCCAGCCGCAGC
rnacentral:rRNA from 1 species